UUCCAGUAAAAGGCGAAGGACGGGAUCUUUAACUCCGGCGGUGUGAGGAUCACGUGAUAUGCUAAUUUCCUGAUCUGAGGAGGAGAAGACUAGAUCUUUGUUGUCGGAGAAAGUGGGCGAUGGCGGUAAUUCAUCUUCGAUCUGCUCCUCGUAGUAAAAUUCAAGAAGCUCUUCAUUCGUCAUCUCUGCAGAUUGUUGGGUAUCGUCGCCAUCGUUCUGAUUUGGGGGGCCGGAAUCGAAACCUGAUGAGCUGUCCGAUAUUAGCAUCGACUCUGUGUGGUACUUUCCAGCAAGGAGUUCGUGUAGAUCAUCGAAGAACUCCAUGGUUGCCGCACCUGGAGCUAACCCUUUGUUACGAAUGCUUUGUAUGUGCAUCCGAUAAGUGCGCUCCAUGUUGCGCCACUUUUGACUGACUUUCUCCCAGGCGCUCUCUUUGUUACGGAAAUGGAAACCUUCAGCCAUGAGCUGUGAAGCUAUUGCAACCCACACUUCUUUUUUUCUCAUCUUUUUGUUAGUGAAUAACUCACCAUUUUCUUGAUAGUUUUUUAGGAUAUCUAUCAGUUUGGCAGUGGCUAAUUUGUCUUGAGUCUUGUCUGAAGAUCGGUUUCCACUCCAAACAUCUGCAGCAAAUAAGAUAAACUAAAUAAGGUAACUAACUUUGAAAGCACUUGAUUGCAUGAUCAUCUGAGACAAUAAGGCUUUUAGUAAAAACUUGAUUCUGCAAAAAUACCAUAAAUGACCACUGAAGUUCUUGUGUUCUGUUUAACUAUACCAUAAUGUGAACAUCAUGACCGAAUGCAAAUCUCACAAGUCAACACUGACCUUCUUCAGAAUACCGAGAUGGAUUGCUUCUUUUCCUUGGUCGACUGGGUGUUCCCAACCGGUUGACUGUUUGAACAUCCAGCAUUAUUACCUUCCGAUCUUAAAGACCCCUUUGUAGACCAGUUGAUCUCCCUGACGACCAACAAAUUCAAGUUUCUGGAGCCCUUCUCGACUCAGAUUGGGUUGAUCCGCCAUCGCUUUAGGAUUGGACCAAAACUUGUUAAACCAGAUUUCGACGUAAGACCGAAUUUGACUUUUGGUUAUAUCGUUACGUGUCUGGUCGCCAAUGUUCUGUCUGCUAGACCAGACCCAACUUCACAGCAGCGCCAGCCAUCUGGUAGGGAUCGAUCAAUAAUUGAACAAAACAAGAAUUUGGUAGGUGAAGAGCCACCCCUCAUUGCCGCCGCUUUUUGCUGCUCUAGUAGUCGUUCAAGGGGAGAAGGACCAGGACCACUCCACAAAGAAGCAGGACCUAACUGAUGCUGCAUUGUCCGCUGUUGCUGCUCGUUCGGGUUGAUUACGUUAUUGAUUGGGAAACUAGGUAACUGAACGGGAUGCCACGGAGCUGUCGAGUUGAACAAACUAUAUGGAGGUACAAUAGAAGACGGUGGUGGAGGGAGGUUGCCAGCCAUUGCCCAGGCUGCAGGUGGCGGAGGGAAACCCAAACCGGGCGGUGGGACCGUCGGAGGCGGAAUAGACAAAUCUGACGUUCCAAACGGGGAGGUAAAGAUGGUCUCGAGUAAAGGGUGCUGCUGCUAGAUUGCUUAACGGGGGGAAGAGGAGGAGCCAGUGUAUGUUGAAAUGUCACCUGCUUAUUAGUGGAGUCUUCCUUCGUGGGGGGCGGAAUCAAAUCAUCCUCGACUUUUUGUCUGAGUAUAGCUGUAAGCGCCACGUUACGCUGAGGAGGUGACUCAUCCGUUCUCAGACUUGUGAACAGCCAUUCAGGAGAUCCAUCAUUUUGCUGUGAUAAUGCCAAACAGCCAGGUUGUUGUUCGGCUAACCACUUCCCUCGCUGAACGAUUCUUGCGGCACGAACUCGAUUCUCAUCUCCUUGCGUCACUUGCGUUGAAGGCCAUUUGGCACUGCGGCGAAGUGGUGCAAACUCCAAUAAGUCAAGAUCUUCCGGAAGAGGCUUUCCGUCAUCUUCUACAGUGAACGAACCGUUAGAAGCAAAACAUAUUUGAAGCUGAUUAAGUAACUUGGCUGUCGAUGACCAGAGAUGACCGCGCUUAAUUUUGGUGAGUAAUUCCGGCUGGGCAAAGAACCAAUCGAGAACAAGUUUGAUAACGCACAAGUAUCUGGAGUUGGGUAGUUGUUCAUCAGGCAGGGAACAGCACGCUGUGAGGCAGGCAUUGAAAACAGAGAAAGCAACAUCGAUAGCCAACUGAAGUGACCUCUUUUGCGCGUCGGUGGCUGAGGCACCAGUGCAUCGACCAACGGAAUAGAUGGUGAUGGUCAACAUGCGAAUCAACUGUGUUGGAGUUAGAGCUUCCGUUGCUACAAGUGAUGGCCAAGUCAGUGUUAGAAGAUUAACAGUCUGUUCAGCUUGAUCGAGGUCGCAACAAAGUCCGAUUUGUCCUUGUAGCUUGAGGAAAGCGACGAGAAACUCUUCUGCGCUCAAACGACCUCCACGUGUCUUUUGGUAUGUUGACAUUUGAAGCGACAGCUUCUUUAGAAGCUUAUCAAGAUUGAUUCUGGCUGGUGGAAAUGGAUGCUUGAGAGCUAGGCUUCGGACGUAAUAGAAAAGGGUGGACAACAUGUCUCCACGAGCCGAUACAAGAAGCGCAAGUUGGUUGUACGGAUGGCCACUGGAGGCUUCAACAUUGAUGGCUUGUUUGUAGUAACCUUCGGCUUCCCCCAAUAAAUUUCUGUAGCGAGCCAGGUCUCCCAAAUGGAUCAGGCAAUGUUGACAAAUGUAAAGAAUUGAUUCAUUCUUCGGCUGGAGGGUGUAUGAUGGACCAUGGAAGAUGCCUAGCUGGGCGUUUCUCUUACAUAAGGACGGGUUUGUGUCGCAUUGGGCACAUAUUUCUUGAAGGAGUAACAUGUAAAACCCAGCAGCUCCUUCCAAGAACAACUUCAGGAUUGGAUUGCCAGUUUUCUUGCCUUGCUUUGGCUGCAGUUCGGAGAUGGGAACUUUGAAACACACAUUCCACAAAUCUUGUUCAACUUUUUUGUCAAGUGCAUAGUCCAGGAUAUCGGGCAUAGUUGAUCUGAUGUCCCCUGCCUCUCUGCAACAACAAAGGAGAUAUGUGUGAGCACAAUAAUGUCCCUACUGCUAGCAUAUUGUGAAAAACUACAAGUUUUGCUUUAAAAAUAGUUUAGAAAGCAUAAUUUUAAAGGCAACAGCCUCUUCGAAGAAGACAAUAGUACUGUUUCCAUAGACCAAAAUGAAGAAUUAGU